GACGAACGCUGGCGGCGUGCUUAACACAUGCAAGUCGAACGGCAAGGCCCUGCUUUCGUGGGGUGCUCGAGUGGCGAACGGGUGAGUAACACGUGAGUAACCUGCCCUUGACUUUCGGAUAACUUCACGAAACUGGAGCUAAUACCGGAUAGGAGAUCCCGCUGCAUGGUGGGCGUUGGAACGUCUCGGCGGUUGGGGAUGGACUCGCGGCUUAUCAGCUUGUUGGUGGGGUAGUGGCUUACCCAGGCUUUGACCGAUAGCCGGCCUGUGAGGGUGGCCGGCGACAUGAGGACUGAGAGACGGCGCAGACUCCAACGGGAGGCAGUAGUGGGAAAUAUGACACAGUGAGCGGGAGCCGGAGGCGGCGGCGCCGCGGGCGGAAUGACGGCCUUCGGGGUGUGAACCGCAGUCGCCUGUGACGAAGCGUUAGUGACGGUAAUGGAUAAAGAAGCACCGGCUAACUACGUG
rnacentral:rRNA from 1 species